rnacentral:rRNA from 1 species
AUUGAACGCUGGCGGCAUGCUUUACACAUGCAAGUCGAACGGUAACAGGCCGCAAGGUGCUGACGAGUGGCGAACGGGUGAGUAAUGCAUCGGAACGUGCCCAGUCGUGGGGGAUAACGCAGCGAAAGCUGUGCUAAUACCGCAUACGAUCUACGGAUGAAAGCGGGGGACCGUAAGGCCUCGCGCGAUUGGAGCGGCCGAUGUCAGAUUAGGUAGUUGGUGGGGUAAAGGCCUACCAAGCCGACGAUCUGUAGCUGGUCUGAGAGGACGACCAGCCACACUGGGACUGAGACACGGCCCAGACUCCUACGGGAGGCAGCAGUGGGGAAUUUUGGACAAUGGGCGCAAGCCUGAUCCAGCAAUGCCGCGUGCAGGAAGAAGGCCUUCGGGUUGUAAACUGCUUUUGUACGGGACGAAACGGUCUGGGUUAAUACCCUGGGCUAAUGACGGUACCGUAAGAAUAAGCACCGGCUAACUACGUGCCAGCCGCCGCUGUAAAAC